CUUUGCCACGGACAGCAGCUGGACUACCACAGCCCAGGACCACAGCAUGGGGGUGGCCUUGGCAACACACAGGCAUCAAGGGGCCCCUCUGGGGUCCACAAUGCUGGACCCUCCCAGCUGGAAGGCACCUCAGAGGCGCAUCACCUCACCAUGAAUCAUCCAACUGUGGGUUCAGCAAACGCACUGAUGAGCCCCAUUCGUCAGGCCCCAGGGAUCCGGGGGUGCUGGAGGGGGCAGGGAUCCUCCCUACAGCUUCCCUGGGCUUUGGGAAACUUCAGCUGGAAUUGCGGCUGCCACCGCAACGACGGAGAGUCAGCCUCAGCCACAGACUGCUGGCUGUGUGACCUUGGGCAAGUGGUUUUUGCCUCUCUGGGCUUGCUUCUUAAUCCGUAAAACACAGAUGAUAAUGGUAGCUUAUCCCACAGUGGUUCUGUGUGUGUGCAUGUGUGCGUGUGUGUGUGUGUGUGUGUGUGUAAGUGCUGGUGACAUCCUGUGAGCCCUCUAUAGUUUUUGGUUAAAUGAGCCAUACUUUUCUCACUGCUUUCACCUGAGCCUCUGUUUCCGCAUAGGAUAAUGAGGCAAAGAUGAAGGGAAUCGAAUUUGGUCCCCAAGGCAUAUGAUUCUCUGGUCCUCCUCUCCGCCUCAGAUGGCUCCUGCGGCUCCUUCCAGUGCAUCCUUCCUCCUUUCUUGGAUUCCUUGCAGGUCCCGGAAGGGACCAAGCUCGUGCUCCCUGCCAGGCCUUUGUACUUGCCGUGUCCUCUACCAAUCUCCAGAUGACGUCUGAUGUGGAGCCCCUUUUCAUUCGCUCAUUUGCGAGCUGUAUAUCUUUGUCAUUGAGAGGCCCAGCUGUGGACCUGGUGUUGAAACAAACAUGACGUGGGGGUGCCGGCCACCCACUGAGGACCUCCCAGGGCAGUGUGAGACACUUUGGCACGGCACCUGGUGAACAGAGCCAGUCCCCUGGAACCACCAGCGAUUGGGAAGAACGUGGACUUCAGUUGCCACUUUACCUGUGUGACCUUGGACAUGUCAUUGGACCUCUCCGAGCCCUCAGUGUCAUUGGGACACAGGAGAUGGCACGUGUCAAGAGCAUCGGCUGCCUGAUUAUGAACAUGAGUGAGCGAGCCAGAUGGGGGAUCCCAGGCUGAGGGAGGGACCUGGUACUUGGGAGGAGGGCUCAGAGCAUGGCCCCUCUCACCCUGCUCUCUAGGCCACACAUUUCUAUGGGAAUGGGUCCUGGUGGCAUCUCAGGUGACAAUGCCUUGGGAGAAAAAGUCAGAUCCCCAGGGCGGCCUCUUCCUAGCUCAGGGACAUACCCUCUGCUGAACUUCACGGCCUCUGAGCAGCCUGUGCCAUCACUUGCUAAGUGGGGAAGAAUGAGGUAUGUCUACAGAAGUUACAUGAUCAGGGGCGCCUGGGUGGCUCAGUGG